AAAUACGUGUCAUCAAAGAUUACUCAAAAAUUGCUCAUUAUAUCUCAAUCAUAUUUAAAACUGACGACAUGACAAGUAUUAGCUUUUGAUUUAUACAAAAAAGAUCAAAAUCAGUGCAUCCAGUAAAAAGAUAUAACGUAUAAUACAACGUAGGGUGACGAAAAUAAUGUCAAGUAAAUACGCGUUAUCAAAGAUUAAUCAAAAAGUAGUUAUCAGAUCUCGAUAAAAUUUAUAUGUGACCACAUGAUAAACAUCAGCUUUCGAUUAAAGUAAAAAUUAUCAAAAUCGAUACACCCAGUAAAAAGUUAUUGCGGAUUUUCAAGAGUUUCCCUCGAUUUCUCUGGGAUCCCAUCGUCAGAUCCUGGUUUCCUUAUCAUGGUACCAAACUAGGGAUAUCCCCUUUCCAACAAAAAAAGAAUUAUCAAAAUCGGUACACCCAGUAGACAGUUAUGUGGUAUAAUACAACGU
rnacentral:misc_RNA from 1 species